rnacentral:rRNA from 1 species
AUUGAACGCUGGCGGCAUGCCUAACACAUGCAAGUCGAACGGUAACAGGAGAGAGCUUGCUCUCUUGCUGACGAGUGGCGGACGGGUGAGUAAUACAUAGGAAUCUGCCCAUGUAGUGGGGGACAACUUGGGGAAACUCAAGCUAAUACCGCAUACGCUCCCUUUCUUAACUGAGGGGGAGGAAAGCAGGGGAUCUUUCGGGACCUUGCGCUAUUGGAUGAGCCUAUGUCUGAUUAGCUAGUUGGUGGGGUAAUGGCCCACCAAGGCGACGAUCAGUAGCUGGUCUGAGAGGAUGAUCAGCCACACUGGGACUGAGACACGGCCCAGACUCCUACGGGAGGCAGCAGUGGGGAAUAUUGGACAAUGGGGGCAACCCUGAUCCAGCAAUGCCGCGUGUGUGAAGAAGGCCUGCGGGUUGUAAAGCACUUUCAGUUGGGAAGAAAAGCUUAGGGUUAAUAACUCUGAGUCUUGACGUUACCAUCAGAAGAAGCACCGGCUAACUCUGUGCCAGCAGCCGCGGUAAUACAGAGGGUGCGAGCGUUAAUCGGAAUUACUGGGCGUAAAGCGCGCGUAGGCGGCUUGGUCAGUCGGAUGUGAAAGCCCUGGGCUCAACCUGGGAAUUGCAUUCGAUACUGUCAGGCUAGAGUAUGGGAGAGGGAAGUGGAAUUUCCGGUGUAGCGGUGAAAUGCGUAGAUAUCGGAAAGAACACCAGUGGCGAAGGCGACUUCCUGGCCCAAUACUGACGCUGAGGUGCGAAAGCGUGGGGAGCGAACAGGAUUAGAUACCCUGGUAGUCCACGCCGUAAACGAUGUCAACUGGGUGUUGGGGAGCUUGACUCCUUAGUAUCGAAGCUAACGCGAUAAGUUGACCGCCUGGGGAGUACGGCCGCAAGGUUAAAACUCAAAGGAAUUGACGG